CCUACGGGUGGCAGCAGUGGGGAAUAUUGGACAAUGGGGGCAACCCUGAUCCAGCCAUGCCGCGUGUGUGAAGAAGGCCCUCGGGUUGUAAAGCACUUUCAGUGAGGAAGAACGCCUGGUGGUUAAUACCCAUCAGGAAAGACAUCACUCACAGAAGAAGCACCGGCUAACUCCGUGCUAGCAGCCGCGGUAAUACGGAGGGUGCGAGCGUUAAUCGGAAUUACUGGGCGUAAAGCGCGCGUAGGUGGCUUGAUAAGCCGGUUGUGAAAGCCCCGGGCUCAACCUGGGAACGGCAUCCGGAACUGUCAAGCUAGAGUGCAGGAGAGGAAGGUAGAAUUCCCGGUGUAGCGGUGAAAUGCGUAGAGAUCGGGAGGAAUACCAGUGGCGAAGGCGGCCUUCUGGACUGACACUGACACUGAGGUGCGAAAGCGUGGGUAGCAAACAGGAUUAGAUACCCCGGUAGUC
rnacentral:rRNA from 1 species